rnacentral:lncRNA from 1 species
CUGUGGGCCUGCGGACGGACGGGGGGAGUGGGGGGCCCUGCAGGCCCCCCCGCCGCCGAGGACGCAGGGCUGUGGGCUAUGAGUCCUGCCUCACCCUGCAGCCUGCACCGCCUCUGCUUCUCCAAGCGGGAGCCGCCGAGUGAUUGAUGGGCCCCAGCUUGAAUGGAAAGUCCAGAUUCCAGCAACACAGCUUAAGAGGUGAUGGUGAUUUUCGACUCAUUCCCGUUACAAACAGCCGACCUUCCUACCGAGUUCAAGUACCUUCUGCCUGGCCUGGAAGAACCGUAUCUCUCUGUCACCCUCUUCCUCUGGCCCUCACCUGCCCUCCCCUGAACAUGCAUUUUGCCUGAGAGGAGACAGAGGCGGUUGAGAUGGAGUCUUGCUAUAUGGCCCAGCUGGUAAUGCCUGGAUUCUUGAGUCCCUCCCUGGCUCAUCCCUGGGAGAAGCACCGAACCCCAUGUCUGACACCUGUCCGGAAAUGGAGCCUGCACAUUGACCCUAGGUGCUUGCAGCUUGGUCCAGGACGCCAGCAGGACCAGACAGAAGACCACAGCGACACGUGGGGAUGGCUGUUCCACAGGCAGAAAUGGGCAGCCAGGAGGAAGUCCGGGCAGCCAGCCACCCAGCUCCUUCCACAUCGUGGCCCUAGAACGGAGUCUUGA